CAUAACUGCCGUGGUGGUGGAAGGUGCUAAUAUCAAUGGUGGUCUAUCACAGGAAGUAGUCAAUCUACACACCCCACAGCAAAUAUCUCUCUUACAUUUUCCAUCUCAUGCUUUGUCAUGUUACUGACAGACAGUCCCAGAUUUAAUGCAAUUUCCUUCAAUUCUCAGUCUGUAGUGUGGAUAGUAAGUAUGGUUGGUGCCACUGAAUAUACAAAAUUCAUGCUUCCCCUGCAAGCCCGCCAGUUAUUUAAAUACUCCUGAAUGCCUUGGGGUGUUUGUGAUAUAUAGUUACUGGGUGACUCUG